rnacentral:tRNA from 1 species
ACCUGGCUGGCUCAGUCUGUAGAGCACGUGACUCUUGAUCUCAGGGUUGUGAGUUCGAGCCCCACAUUGGGUG